rnacentral:lncRNA from 1 species
GUUUGCCAAAAAUUACGAAACAACAAAUAAUCCUUACAUUUUUUUUCCUUCGAACCCUGUCAUAGUUGAAACUCGAUUUUGGUCCCCCCACCGUAACUGUAGCUUAGAAAAUGAUGAUUCCCAACUGAAAUUCGUUGAAAUAGUAACCAGUAAAAAAUAGAAAAUAGAAUAGGGAAGGGGAAAACAAGAAAAUAAGAAGAAUGAAGGUGAGAAAAGCUGUUGAUUCAAUUAACAAUUUCACUAAAAUUUUGCAGAAAACAUUACAUAGACCCCGACUUCCUCCCCCAUGGUUGUAUAUAUACAAGUAACUAAAUAUAAAGUCCCGCUUUCCAAACCCAGAAGUAGCAGACGUUUUUUAACAAAUAACAACAAUUUAUUUCAAGUAAAACGACUCCAUAUGGACUUAAUAAAAAAUGACGUCGCAGGCACUUUCAAUUCUAGUUACCGCCAUUGGUUUUUUCUCCUCUAUUUUUCAUCCUCUGUUUUGCUUNNNNGAAACUAGGCCUUAAUCCAAUCAGCAUCUUUCCAUGUCACAUUUUUUGGUGGUAGUAGAUCUGACCAAUGAAUGAGCUAUUGUUCUGCUAUUCAAUUUAUACGUUUCACUAUUUUGUAUUGUAGGAUUGCAAGGAGAUAAUGACCUACCUGUAGUGGCUGCUUUUCUUCAAGGAGUCGUAGGACUGGCAUUAUGUUGUCACCAAGUUUUUUUUUCAAUAGUGAAAUAAGGAAGACUUGUUGAAUUUUGAAGCCUCUAGGUUGUGCCAUUUGCUAAGCCACUGUCCCUACUUUCCUAGUAAUCUAUGAAAGGUUUUCCUUUAACUGAUGGUUUAAUUUGUAUCUCCACAUCUCCACAACUAGUCUCUUUAUGUUUGUAUUCUGGAUAAAAGGAUGCCUAUAAAGUUCGAUUUUGAAUGGUUGUUCACCCUCUUUCAAUGGGAUAUGGUGGUCCUGUGACCUAGGAGGAGGUAACCAUGCUGGCUCUUCAAACACCUUUGGAAAUCUUUUGAUGACCUCCAACACUUGGUUGAGCAUAUUCCCACCCUUUUCAUCCUUGAUAUGACAUAGUUGUCCCACUAUCCCAUAAGAGUCCUUUCUAAAUAUUCUUCCCAUCUCCUUAAUCCCCAUCAUCUUGGCAGGACAUUUAGACAUCCCACUCUUCAAUUCUAUCAUUUCACCAUUACUCCUCAACUGAAUGCACUCUUGUACAAAAUCAAAUGUGAUUGGACCAAAUUGGCUCAUCCAAUUUACCCCUAGUACCAUGUCACUCCAUGUUAGCUUAAGAGUCCUAAGUUUGUAUUGAAAUUCCCAUCCCUGUAUCUCCCACAUCACUGGGUGACCCAAGGCUUUACUUUCCAGUUUCU